UCGCCAUUUGCUCAGCGCUUUUGAAACCCUAUAGUCUCUGCCUCGUGUUGAAGCCAUGGACGGGAGUCUUCUUCCCACCAAGAAAAAGAGUUCUGCGAGUAGAUGUUGCUCUUGAAACCUAGCACCCGCCGUCGCGGCAGCACUAGCAGACACCGAGUAUCAUUCAACAUCUUGACCGUCGAGAUUCCGGUUCCACAAGAUCAAGAUCUCAGAAUUCCACGGAACAGUUUGAGUCACUCUCAAGUAACUGCUUUCCAAACCUGAACCACUCCCUAAAUCCCAGUUCCUGGGGGAUUACUCACUCAUUGUCAGAACUUUGGGAAGAUCCCUCUGGCCACACUGGAGGUUGAAUUGAAUGAACUGAGGAAGACUGACUUCUUGAAAGGCCACUGUGCAGACAAUAUCAAAAGACAACAGCAGUGAGAACUCUUUUUCAGACUUCUAGCCAGAGUGGCCCAGGAGUAUGGAAUGGCAGUCUCUCUGGCUGCCAACACAGUGUCUGGCAUACAGUGUACGUUGAUGUAACAGUUGAAAAACGAAAACCUGCUUGCUAAUAUGGUGAGUUAACAUAGAACUCUGAUUCUUCACCCCUCCCUGCAUCUGAUCCUUGCAUCAUCAAGGUGGAAGGAACUUCCUCGCCUUGGACUUUGGGCUUAGCCAUAUGACCUGUGUUGGCAAACAGAAUGAGCUGGAAGUAAAAGUAUACAGUUAACAGGUCCCAGGAGUUCCUGUUUAUCCUCUUAUCUCCCUGCCAUCUCUGCAAAAAGAGCAUGACCUGGCUGUCCAACUGACAGAAGAAUGAGGAGCACGAAGCUAAGCCCCCCGGCUCCUCUUCUCCAGCCUUGACCAGCCAAACCCCAGCCAACUCACGGAUCCAUAAUAUGAGAUCCUCCAUGACAACUAAAUCUCUGUGUAUUGAUUGCUGUACUCUAGCACCUAGAACAAUGUCUGGUUCAUGACAAGCGCUCAGAGCCGGGGCUGGGCCAGGCCAAAUCCAGGAGCGGGGAGAAAAGUCUGGAUCUCCCGGCAAGUGGCAGGGACCCAAGUAUUUGACGCAUUAUGUGCUGUCUCUCAGGUCAAGAAUUCAUCUAAAGCGUUUUCAGAGUGGCAGGUUCUUGUUCGUGUAAUGAAUCUAUUGAUUCAUUUUUUGUCCCUGGGAGACUCUGCAGACCACAGGGUGUCAAGAGAGAAGACAAAGAAUUCUCGGGGCUUGUCAUGGAGCCUUAUGGGCAAGGAGACAGGUCUCAGCACGUUCCCAGGAGGGGCUCUGGCCCAGUUAUUACUCUUUGGGAGUUAAAUGGUUUUUAUUCUAGGGCUUACUUUAUUGCUCGCUGCCUAAAUGCCUCACACGUCCAGAAAUAGUCUCUCUUAACAAAGGAAGUAGAAUAGCACAACUAUUUCAUCAUUCGUUCAGCAACUGUUUGGGUAACAAGAAGCCAGGGGUGAUGAUUGAUGAUGAUGAUGAUGAUAAAAAUAAAUUUCCCGGGAUCCAGAUAAGCAGUUGGUUUGUACAUUGCUGGUGUCCUCCUUUUCCUCAGUCUGACUUCCAUGUUGUUGCCAGUGAAAUUUUGAACUCAAGCAAGAAGGACCAAGUAUCUACUGUGAUCUAGGAACUACCUUACUCAGCAAUGAAUAAUGGGUAUUUUGUUCCUGGCCUUCGUGGUAAGGACAUAAAGCCUUCAAUGGCUCUCCGCUGCCUGUAGGUUGAUGUCCAAAUCCCUAACUUGGCAUUCGGGAUGCACAAAGACCCUCCACAGCCAUUUUUCUUCACCUCUUCCACGACGUCUCAAGUAGCAGCUCUACAGGACAUCCUACCACCUCCCCCACCUCAGGCAAGGCUGCUGCAUUUUAUUCCGGACUCCAGCACUUACAAGCCAUCACCUUUCUCUUCUGCAGACCUACAUCCUCUUGGUGGGCCUCAGCUCAUCGUUAAGAACCACUUCCUCCAGGGGACUGCCCCUGACCCACCCAGUCUGCGUUAAAUGCUUUUAGAACAUGUUACUCAUUUCCUGAGCCCCUCCCUCGUGGCACCAAGAGCUGCCUGAAGCCAGGAGCAGCCCUGCUUCUCAACUACAUCCUCAGUAAGCCCAGUGCCAAGCGCACGUUGGCCUUCAAACGUCGACGCAUUAGUGAAUGCGCGCCUGAGGAGUACGCACAAGCACUGUGACAUUUAUUAAGCGCAAGGCACUUUUCCAAGAGCUUCACAUUCACGUUUUUCUGGUUGACUCCUAAGCAGCUCCACAUGAAAUACGAUCCUCUCCUUUCUCUGAUGACCAGCGACUGACAGCAGCCCUGACCUGGGAUGCAGGAACCUCUAGCCCAGGGGAGACAGCACUGACCUCUCGUUCAGAGCACCUGCAGCUCGUGCUGUAACAGAGCACUGGUCACUGCGCCUCAAGUCUCGGUUUCCUGUCCUGCUGAUCAGCACAGGUUUGGGGUCAAACGGCCUCAGUUGAAAUUCUCCACUGCCGCUGACUGGAGCCAGGCUUGGGCGAGUCACUCAGCCCAUCACUGUGGAGCACUUGCCAUCUGCCAAGCGCUGCACCACAUGGUGGGAAGAACUAGAGAAAUAGUCACCGGCGGUAACCAAAGAUUGAGAGCUCAUUAUUUUAUCUUCAGAUUUACUCUUUAAUAGUAUGGUUUGGAAUACUGUCAUGUGUCA